UACGUAGGGUGCGAGCGUUGUCCGGAAUUAUUGGGCGUAAAGAGCUUGUAGGCGGUCUGUCGCGUCUGCUGUGAAAAUCCGGGGCUCAACCCCGGACUUGCAGUGGGUACGGGCAGACUAGAGUGUGGUAGGGGAGACUGGAAUUCCUGGUGUAGCGGUGAAAUGCGUAGAUAUCGGGAGGAACACCAGUGGCGAAGGCGACUACCUGGCCUGUUCUUGACGCUG
rnacentral:rRNA from 1 species